rnacentral:rRNA from 1 species
CAGUAGCCGCGGUAAAACGUAGGUGGCAAGCGUUGUCCGGAAUUAUUGGGCGUAAAGGGCUCGCAGGCGGUUUCUUAAGUCUGAUGUGAAAGCCCCCGGCUCAACCGGGGAGGGACAUUGGAAACUGGGAAACUUGAGUGCGGAAGAGGAGAGUGGGAUUCCACGUGUAGCGGUGAAAUGCGUAGAGAUGUGGAGGAACACCAGUGGCGAAGGCGACCCUCUGGUCUGUAACUGACGCUGAGGAGCGAAAGCGUGGGGAGCGAACAGGAUUAGAUACCCGUGUAGUCCCUGUCUCUUAUAC